rnacentral:rRNA from 1 species
UACGUAGGCAGCAAGCGUUGUUCGGAAUUACUGGGCGUAAAGAGUGUGUAGGUGGUGUCGUAAGUUUGGUGUAAAAUCUCCCGGCUUAACUGGGAGGGUGCGCCGAAGACUGCGAUGCUGGAGUAUGGGAGAGGAAAGCGGAAUUCCUGGUGUAGCGGUGAAAUGCGUAGAUAUCAGGAGGAACACCUGCGGUGUAGACGGCUUUCUGGACCAUUACUGACACUGAGACACGAAAGCGUGGGUAGCAAACAGG